rnacentral:lncRNA from 1 species
GCGGGGGUGCCUUUCCAAAGCACGUCUUAAUUCUGUUCAUUCCACCUUCCCUGCUCCUCCCUCCACAAAUUGUUUUUAAACUUAAUGAAAAUAUCUGGGCACCGCGGCCCAUACCCUCGCGGGCCGAGCCCCGGUUCUGUAAGCUUCCUCACCCUCAGUCUUUCCUUUCCUUUGCCAGCAGCAUCUGCGCAGGUGCGAUGGGACAGCGCCUCACCUCACCUCAUGAGAUGCCGCAGGGACCCCCUCAGCUGUUCAAACAGUUUUUGCAAACUGUGGAGGUCAGGGAGUGGACACCCCACAGGGAAUCCCAAAAUAUUGCCAUCUCCCAGCUCUUCAGCAGGACGUUCUCGAGGAGUACCGCAAGGCUCAGAUGGGGUUCCCAAUGGAGGGGACCCCAGUUGCCACAGCAGUGAUCAGCCUGAUCGCCUUCCUUUGUACACUAUUCCUGGUCUCCCGCCACUAUUUCUUGGGAUCAUUUCCCAAAAUAAACUAUCAGCCUAGGAGCCAUUAUCUCAGGCUUUGGGACUCAGGUGCAGCCAGGUCAAGACCACUGGCACCGGGAGUGGUUCUAAGAACCAGAGGUUGCACAGGGAGCAGUGGUACAUGCUUGUAAUCCUAGCACUCUGGUAGGCUGAGGGAGCAACAUCACAAGUUCAAAUCCAGCCUGUGCAAUUUAGCAAGUCAGUGAGACCUGUUUCAAAAUUUUUUAAAUGUCUGGGCUGUAGGUCAGUGCAAAGGCCCUGGGUUCAAUCUCCAGGACAAUGAGAAAGAAAAGAAAGAAAGAAGGAAAGAAAGAAAGAAAGAAAGAAAGAAAGAAAGAAAGAAAGAAAGAAAGAAAGAAAGAAAGAAAGAAAGAAAGAAAGAAAGAAAGAAAGAAAGAAAGAAAGAAAAGAAAGAAGGAAGGAAGGAAGGAAGGAAGGAAGGAAGGAAGGAAAGAAAGAAAGAAAGAAAGAAAAGAAAAGAAAGCCCCAGCUGAGAAGAGGGACUUUGCUGACCGGUUGGCUUCCUCAGAAUACUUUACCCUUGAAAGGCAGCGAUUGGUUCUCUCUGGAACCAGGUAUCAGUUUGCUGAUCUCCCUGCCCACAGGACCACUGCCAGCACCACCGUCCAGGACAUGAGAUCCUGUGUGGCAAUGCCUCAGAUUAGGGGAGACUCUGGGCAAAGGGUGGCAACAAUGAGUGCCCAACCACAGACCCACAGACGGAUGCUUCGAUCCUGCCAUCAGCCCAUGUCAUCUGCCCCAACUUGUGGACUCCUGGUGACCCUGGGAAGCAGCAGAGAUAAAGGUCCUGGUCGAGCCACCUUAUCACGACACCUUGUGACCAUGGCCCAGAUGUUCCAGACAGGCC